rnacentral:sRNA from 3 species
UUGCUAUCUGCGAUAUGGAAGAUUCGAACCUGCCGUAGGUUCGGGUCGAACGCAGUGAGACAACGGAGCCGUUUACGGCGACGGCCCGUAGGGCGAGCGAAGCGAGUCAUCCUGCACGACCCACCA